rnacentral:rRNA from 1 species
UACGGAGGGUGCGAGCGUUGUCCGGAAUCAUUGGGCGUAAAGGGCGCGUAGGUGGCGGGACAAGCGUGCGGUGAAAGCCUGGGGCUCAACCCCGGGUCGGCCGUGCGAACUGUUUUGCUUGAGCACUGUAGAGGCAGGCGGAAUUCCGGGUGUAGCGGUGGAAUGCGUAGAGAUCCGGAAGAACACCGGUGGCGAAGGCGGCGUUCUGGACUGUUUCUGACACUGAAAAACGAAAGCCAGGGGAGCAAACGGG